ACCGUGCAAAGGUAGCAUAAUCAUUAGUUUUUUAAUUGAAAGCUGGAAUGAACGGUUGGACGAGAAAAUAACUGUCUCAAUUUAAUUGAAUGUAGAAUUUUAUUUAUAAGUAAAAAAGCUUAUAUAAAUUUAAAAGACGAGAAGACCCUAUAGAGUUUUAUAGUUUUUUGUAGUAAAGAAUUUUAGUAUGUUUAUAUUUUUGAUACAGAAACCUAUUUUGCUGGGGCAGCAGAAAAAUUAACUAAACUUUUUUUAUAUAUUUUACAUUGAUUUAUGAUUUAAUGAUCCAUUUUUUAUGAUUACAAGAUUAAAUUACCUUAGGGAUAACAGCGUAAUUUUUUUUUAGAGUUCUUAUCGAAAAAAGAGUUU
rnacentral:rRNA from 1 species